GCCGGCGUGGCGGAAUGGCAGACGCGGCAGACUCAAAAUCUGUUUAUGGUGACAUAGUACGGGUUCAAGUCCCGUCGCCGGCACGA
rnacentral:tRNA from 5 species